rnacentral:rRNA from 1 species
AUUGAACGCUGGCGGCGUGCCUAACACAUGCAAGUCGCACGCGAAAGGGAGCAAUCCCGAGUAGAGUGGCGGACGGGUGAGUAACGCGUAGGAAUCUACCUAGUAGUGGGGGACAACCCGGCGAAAGCCGGGCUAAUACCGCAUACGACCUAAGGGUGAAAGCCGGGGAUCGCAAGACCUGGCGCUAUUAGAUGAGCCUGCGUCCGAUUAGCUAGUUGGUGAGGUAACGGCUCACCAAGGCAACGAUCGGUAACUGGUUUGAGAGAACGACCAGUCACACUGGGACUGAGACACGGCCCAGACUCCUACGGGAGGCAGCAGUGGGGAAUCUUGGACAAUGGGGGCAACCCUGAUCCAGCGACGCCGCGUGUGUGAAG